UUUCUAACAUAAUAAUAUAGUAUUCAAUAUUAGUUAGUAUUUUAUUCUAUUCCAAUUAUUGCUCAUUGUCAACUGGUAAUUUUAACAAUAAUUGUAUUAACGCAGCAUUUACUUAAAAUGUUGCGAAAAGUAUAUUCCUAUUUUAUAGGCUUUUGCAGGGAUUAACUAUAUUACUCAGUUGUAUUCUUAUUGUUCCAUUUGUUUCAUAAAAUAUAGCACAUCUAGGCAUUUAGCUCAUAGGAAUUAAGUUGAUAAUAUUUAAAUAAAAUCAUAAUUAAAAUGUUGAGAUACAGAGGAAAUAAAUUAACACUUAAUACCUAUUGUAAAAUAAUUGGAUUCAUUUCCUAAGGUUUAAGAAUAAAUUUAUGAACCAUCUGUUUAUAGUAAUGUUACACUGACAGUUAGGAUUAUGGUUAUUGAUUUCUGAAAUACAAUAUGUUUUACAAGAACAUUAUAUAUACAGAUUUGUACCAGACACGGACUAUGAAUCUAAACUUCCAAUUAACAUAGAUAUUACUGUUACAUCAACUUGUGAUAGUGCUGAUAUUGUUGAUACAACAGGACAAAAUAUGAUGUUAUUUGGAGAAUUAAAAACUGAUGAUACUUGGUGGGAAAUGACAAAAGAAUUGACACAACAUUUCGAAAAAAUGCGUGUAUUCAAUGCAUAUUUAAGAGAAGCAUAUAAUUCAAUGAAUGACAUACUAUGGAUUUUUGAUAAUUAUAAUACAUUAAAAAAUAAAUUAUCUGUUAAUAGGUACUACAGGAAAUCUAUUUGUUUGCUUCAAACUUGCUUCAAGCUUCUGGAAUUAGAUGAUCAUCCAUAGAAUAUGAGUUGAGUAUGGAAAUUGGAAGCCCUGUGCAUGGACUAUUGAUCGAUUCUUAGCUUUCCGAAGAACUGUAUUCAUUAUAUUGGCAUGCAGAAAUUAUUUCUGAAGCUUCCUCCUUUAUACGCAAUAGAGAAUUGCUGGAGGACAAUGUGCCAUAGACUUAUCAAAAGUGAAACUAGACAAGACAUCUUCGGGUAAGAUUUGUGUGUCCAUGUAUUACAACAAAACUGCAUGCAUCAGGAUGAACUUGAAGUAUCGUAGUCUUGACGGUUCUUGUAAUAACUUGAAACGUUCCUCCUCGGGAAAAGCAUCCACGGCUCUAUAAACGUUUGCUCUUAAUAACUAUAUGGAUAGUUUUAAUGAAGUUUUCGAAGAUUCUUUUUCGUCUUACAAUCCAAGUCCUAGAAAGCUGAGGGUUGAAUUUGUCAAAGACGAGCACUCACCAGAUUACUUCAAAACGAUGGCAAUUGCGUACUGGACGAUUUUUGUAGGCCAUGAUCUAUCUCACGCGGAAAUUUCUAGAAUGAUGAAUAGUAAUAAGUCUGUGAGCUGUUGUUCAAAUAGCCGGAAGGAGCUCAUGCCUCGAGACAUACACCUCGAGUUGUGCUUGCAAGUAGUGAUACUGGGUAAAGAUCCAUUUUUCAGAAACCAUAUUCGUUUUAUGAACUACGGUCGUUUGGUGCCAGCUGUGUGUUCCGAUUGUACUUUUGACCCAAGGAACAAAAUACAACACAACCUUGUACUGUAAUAAGCUUCCAAACCAAUAAAAACAGUUGAUUAAAAAUUCUAAAAAAAAAUGUUGGAUUCAAAUACCAAAGUAUACUGAAGCAUGUAAUAUACUAGUAAUUGAACAAAUUGUCUUCAUUAAAUGUUUAUGUAAGUAAUUCAUGAUGUGUAAUGUGUUAGAAAAUGAUUUAUUGUGUGUAGUUGGUAUUUAAUAAAAUAUUUUAUCUGGUCGAUUUUAAUCAACUACGUACUAAUGAGGAAUACGAUUACUUUUCUACUUUUUGUUAUAUUUUUAUUUUUGAAAUAUAAUAUUCAAUUUAUUCAAAUUACUUAUAAUAGUUUUUUAAAAUAAAUAUGUUUUUGGGCUGCAUACACGAUAAAAUGUUAAUAAAUGAUUUUAAAAUAUACCAGUGGUAGGUAAUGUAGCAUUAAUUUGAACUGUAUACCUAAUAUAUUUUUAGACUACAAAAUAAAUUCCAAAUUCAGGUCAAUGUAUUGAGACAGAUAUUAAAUAAUUGCAUGAUGAUCAGUCUCUAAAGAGUUUUAACGUACUAAGAUUUUCCUUAUUAGUCUCAAUUUAGUUUAAGUAUAGUAUUUAAUUUAAUAGUUAUGUAUAUUUUUCAAUUUUUGUUUAUUUUAGGAAGUGCAGUUCUUAGCCCUAAUACUAAACUCAAUAAAUGUGUUGUAUUGGACAUUAAUGUUAUGGAAUACCUAUAAAUACCAACAUGUUCCUACACAUCUCAAAUAAAAAUUAAGCUGUUAAUAUAUUUUGUUAAAAAAUAACAACCGUAAAAUCAACCUACCGUACCAACCUUACUCCUACCACAGUUCAUAACCCCUACAACAGCUAAUGGCCCUAGUUGCCGAGCUUUAGUUCAAUAAUAAAAAAAAAAAAAAAUUUUAAAUAUAGUCUUGCAUUGAACAAAUUAUUCAAUUGAGUAGAUGAGAUAUAUGGGGAUUUGUAGUUGUAUAAUUCAGGUAAAUAAUCAUCCCUGCGACCUGAAGUUAUACAGCUUUAUAAAAAAUAAAAUUUCAAAAUACUCAUUAAUAUGGUUAAUGCCCAUUUAAUUUCCACCAUACCAUAAAGUCAAAUGCUCCUCUGAUUUUAAACAAUUUUAUCUUUGAGGCAUUAAUAAAGGAAAAAUGUGAUAGCAAUAUUAUUAGGUACUUAUAUAUUUUAUUUAAUCUAUUUACAGUUGAAUUAUGAUAAGUCUCAUAAACAUUCAAAACAGAAUAAUAGUCAAAUUUUAUUUCUUUUAACUUUUUUAUUCAAAUUUUAAAUAAUCUCUAAUAAACAAAUUGA